rnacentral:sRNA from 1 species
CCGGUCUAAGGUCCCCGACUGGGGCCACAAGUCCCUAAGGACUCCUGGGUCCCUAGAUUAUUAGCACAAAGCUUCUUGGGUAGUUGAGAAGCUUCGGGCUCCCCUUUCUCAGGGCCUAAAAAUAACCAGGCAAGAGGAACUCUGAGUAGCUAGCAAAUGUGCCAGCCAGCACCCCACGCAGCGGAAGCGCCUCCAAAUAAGGCCUAGACAAAGCGGAAGACAGCACGCAAGCCCGUCAGCACUGACGUGGAUUCCAGAACCUGCCCUCCCUGUACCCUCAGAGUCUCCCCUGGAGCCUGUGUGACUCAGGGACGCAGGAGUCGGAUUUGUUCACGGUGUCCAGAGCUUACUGGGCAAUUCAUUAAAGCAGUCUGCCCUUGGGUCCUGGAACUUUUAAGUUCCUGACAGGAGUAUGGAGCUGCAAGUGAGGACUCUGAGGCUGAGCUUUACUGAGUCAACAGUGAACAUGGAGCUGGAGCCACUCUUAACUGGCUAACACCUGUAUGUGCCCCAUCUGCCCUCCAUAGUGGCUGGUGCAACCCAGGCCCUGCUGAGGCUCGAGGAUUCUCUCAGAGGCUCCUCUGCUAGCUUCUCCAUAGGUGACUGGUGACUACAGCCAGCAGACCCAGAGAAGGGCAGUGAGUCAAGACCAACCAAGGGUCAUGGAGACCUCAGGCAGUGAGAGGAACUCCAUGUGCUCGCUGGACCUGACCUUAUAAGAAGAGAGGAAGUUUAACCUGGCUACGACUACACGACCUCCUCUGGCCCCAGACUCCAAAACUGCACCGCCAGCUGAGACCAGGAAUCAGAGACCAGAAAUCAGAGACCAGGAAUCAAUCAGAGACCAGGAACCAG